AUGGGGUGGUUUCCUGCGACGCGAUCGCGCCUGCCGCCUCGCGCUACCUCCCCUCGCCUGCCGCGCCGCUGCUGCCGGUCGCAUUGACUCCCCUGCCGCGCCGCCUGACUCGCGCUGCCCCCCUCGGCUGUCGCGUUUGGCCCCUCGGCUAUCGCGCCGGUCGCCUCGGCUGCUGCGGCGCCUGGACACCCCUGCCGGCUGCCGUGAAUGCCCCACCGACACCUACCACCCCCGCCCCCCGCGCCGUCGCGUUAUAUAAACCACCCCGGCCGGCCUUUCCUCCCACACCCGACGCCCCCGCUCUCCUUCUCAUCCCAGUGCCCUCUUCCUCAUCAAUGGCGUACAUCACCGGCGGCAGCUCCGGGCACGGCGGCCGGAGCGGCACCUGGCGGUGCAUGGCCGUCCAACAUGACGUGGAGGGAUGCCAACGACCUGUGCCGCUUCGGCCUGUUGGUGCCGCCGUCGUCCCGUCUGCCGCAUGAGUGGCACAUCACGGCGGACGGGUAUGCGACGCUCAGCCCCGGCGGCACCGAGGAGGAGCUCUGCACCCACCCGGGCGGCCGCUGGAACAUGCUCGAGCGCCGCUGUUUUUGAUAUUCCAAAAUUCUAGGAGUAUCCCGGCGUUGAGGAUACCACUGAGGAGGAAGGGAGGUUUAGAUGUAAUGUCUUGACAAUGUUAGCUGCACCUGCAUAGCCAUGGAGUAUUAGUAUCUCAAUUCACUGUCUUCUAAUAAUGAUGCUUGCAAUUUUUUUGCAAUCUCCCGUGCCGAUAGUAGUAUUAGUAUCUCAAUUGUUUUUACUCUGAUGUUGUCUUAAGUCACGACAUGCAAAGAUUUGUUGGUAGUAGCCACUUCAUGUUGUAUUUGUUUUGCAAUCUGCAGAUUAUGUUUGUCCUUCUCAAGUUAUGUUUCCAUGCUAAUUCCACUAAAGGGUUGUAGUUUCUCUUUUGGUAUUCACGUUAUCAAGAUAUUUGGCUUA